rnacentral:tRNA from 1 species
GCCUCCGUAGCCCAACGGUAGAGGCAUACUCCUUAAAAGAGUAGAAGUGUCGGUUCAAAUCCGACCGGGGGCA